rnacentral:lncRNA from 1 species
AUCUCAUGUUUGAUUUUAGACCUUGAUAGAAAAAUGCCUUAGCAUUUCAUACACUAAUUUCUAACUCUCCAAUGAAGUUGUAUUUGGCAAUGAGCUUUUGUGUCUAAGCACACCUUACACCCACAUGCAUAUAGAAUUUAUGAUGGACAAAUCCAAUCCAUAUUUUUUUAAACCUCCACGAAUUUGCCUAAAACAUAAUGAAAUACAAAGGGCAUUUCACUUUUCAUUUGAAAACAAUAGCAAUUGACGUCUUCAAAUUAUGAAAACGUAAUCUCCUGUGUCUUCGACAGGUGGGACCCAACCCCUAAAGGAUUUGCCUCCAAAACUAAUACUAGUGGAAUGCUCUUCCCUCCAUAAUUUUUACCUAAACCCUCAAAUAUCUCGACCACCUCCCCACCUCCCCCAAAAACCUGCAGCGGCUGCCCACUUUCCCCAAAAACCUUUCGUUACGAGAUUGGGAGGCUGUAUUGGAGACGAGGGGGAGGGGCGACAGUUUGUUGAUUUGCCCAGCAAAUCCAACCAUGAUGACGACUUCUUCCAAAUUAGGAUCCGGCGAUGCACAAGACAACAACUCACGAGGUCGGAUCACAAUCGAAGAUGUACAAGUUGUUGAAGAUGAUCAAAUGAAUCUUCCAGUAGGCGAAAAAAGGUGUGUAUUCGCCUGUAGCGCCAACUAGGUUUUGUUGGAAAUCGAUAGCGUUCAAUCAGUUUGAUGUUGUCUCCAUGUCCACGAUCAUGUGUACCUACCCCUAGGGUUUAUAGGACGACAUUCAUAUGCAAGGUUUUGAUGUUGCCUCCAUCAUAUCCAUGUAAUGGCGGAACCAAGAUUAAAAACUAGGGGGUUGGGUUCUUCUUCCUUCUCCAUCUCCACCCCUCAUUCCUCGUUUUCAUGUUAUUUUUCCUCACUUCUCCUCCCCU